rnacentral:tRNA from 1 species
AUUUAAAUAGUUUAUAAAAAAUAUUGAUUUGUGGUAUCAAAGAAAAUUAUGUUUAAUUUUUAAAUU